CAAAAAGACAAUAGUUUAAGUUUUUAUUCCCGUAUCAUUCAGACAAUAAAUCAGUAAACUGGUGGGUACGACAGAACAUAGGUCCUGAUAUACACAUGUAGGUUAUAUACCUGGUCAAUGGACCUGGAAGUACAGUUCAGUCGACUAGGUGUGACAGAACAUAGGUCCUGAUAUACACAUGUAGGUUAUAUACCUGGUCAAUGAGCCUGGAAGUACAGGUCAGUCGACCAGGUGUGACAAAACAUAGGUACUGAUAUACACAUGUAGGUUAUAUACCUGGUCAAUGAGCCUGGAAGUACAGGUCAGUCGACCAGGUGUGACAAAACAUAGGUACUGAUAUACACAUGUAGGUUAUAUACCUGGUCAAGGAUCCUGGAAGUACAGGUCAGUCGACCAGGUGUGACAAAACAUAGCUCCUGAUAUACACAUGUAGGUUAUAUACCUGGUCAAUGGACCUGUAAGUACAGGUCAGUCGACCAGGUGUGACAGAACAUAGGCCCUGAUAUACACAUGUAGGUUAUAUACCUGGUCAAUAGACCUGGAAGUACAGGUCAGUCGACCAGGUGUGACAAAACAUAGGUACUGAUAUACACAUGUAGGUUAUAUACCUGGUCAAGGAUCCUGGAAGUACAGGUCAGUCGACCAGGUGUGACAAAACAUAGGUACUGAUAUACACAUGUAGGUUAUAUACCUGGUCAAUGGACCCGGAUGUACAGGUCAGUCGACCAGGUGUGACAGAGUAUAGGUCCUGAUAUACACAUGUAGGUUAUAUACCUGGUCAAUGAGCCUGGAAGUACAGGUCAGUCGACCAGGUGUGACAAAACAUAGGUACUGAUAUACACAUGUAGGUUAUAUACCUGGUCAAUGAGCCUGGAAGUACAGGUCAGUCGACCAGGUGUGACAAAACAUAGGUACUGAUAUACACAUGUAGGUUAUAUACCUGGUCAAUGAGCCUGGAAGUACAGGUCAGUCGACCAGGUGUGACAAAACAUAGGUACUGAUAUACACAUGUAGGUUAUAUACCUGGUCAAUGGACCUGUAAGUACAGGUCAGUCGACUAGGACGUCUAUCAUACAAAAACAUUCAAUCACAUAGCUCAGUAGAUUUAAGAAAAGAUUUCAAAAAACAUGUAUGACACGUUCUCAUGCAAGAUGCAGUUAAUAAAAAAGAUGAAAAUAUAGGUCUCUGAUAGAAGUAAGUUUGUUAUAGUUGUAAAACCAUCUACAUGUAUAUAGCUACCUGACUAGAGCAGAGCAGGACAGGUAAUUUAUAAAUGUAGUUUUCACUCUCAGCAGAGCAACCAUGGUUACAAUCUGUUUUUGAGAAACUGUUGGCUUUUUAUGGAUAUGGGUCCUGUCCUGAAAUUCUGAGGCAAUUAUUACCUGACAUCCACCAGAUAAUAUAAUACAUGUCUACACUUCUAGAUCACCCUAUUCACAUAGCGUACACAGAAAUGGUCUGAAUUCCCCAAUGAUCAUUUUACAUUGAACUGUACAUGUAGGAACAUCAGCAGCGGCAUGGAUGAACAUUACAUAAUACAAGAUAGCAAAGCAAUGCAUGUGACAUUUGAUAAGGUAAGUAAGAAAUGUAUAUAUCAACAAGAUGUUUAGGCCAUAUUAACAAUCUGACAAACUGAUGUAACAUACAACACUUAGGGAUUUGGUAAUAAAACAAUACAGCGUUCUCACAUAUAACAACAAACCAGUUACCACACUUAAUAUUCUGUCUUUGUUGAUUUGUUGAAAUUUGAUAAAUUACUUUGAGGACAUGCAUUUGAUAAAUGUGUCUUCAAAAUCUAAUCGCCUUGUAUUCAAAAGGACAAAAAUAAGCAGAAAUGAAACAGUAAAUCUGUUAUUUUGAAACUAGUAGAAAUCCUACACCUACAUAAAAUAGUGCUGCAAGCUUCACUAGGCGUUCCCAUGUUGUGUUAUAAGCUUCACUAGGCGUUCCCAUGUUGUGUUAUUUGCCUGAACAUUAUCAGUAUACUUGUGUUAACAGGGCAGUCUGAAGGCACGUCAUUGAUUGGCCGGUGCCACAGUCAUCAAAGCAUAAAGCUGUGGACAGGAGGUACAAUGUUUCUGUGAUUAUUUUGGAGUAAUUUUGUAUGAAUUUAGACAUGUAAGACUGAUAUAUAAAUGCCUUAAUGGAUCAAUGUGCUGGUGGGAAGAAUCCUACACAAUGUACUAAAAAUGUUUUGAGAGAAGAAAUUUUGAUAAGUCAGCAAAAUGCAGUAAGACAGAUUAAUUUAAUUAUAUCUAUUGUAUUAUCUUCUGAUAUUGAGCCUCAAGUAAUGAAAGGUCCUUAACCCAGGACACAGAAAACAGGUGUUGUGGUCGAUCAGUCACCCUAACAUAUCACAGAGGGCAGAUCUGUCACCCCAACAUAUCACAGAGGGCAGAUCUGUCGAGAAAGAUUUCAAACAGCUGAGUAUUGCUUUCCAGUAAUAUACAUGGAGCAUGUGUUCUACGGAGCAUCUUCUCAUAAACACAACCCCUUCUCUCUAAAUCAAAGGAGUGUCGUAGCAUCUUCUCAUAAACACAACUUCUCUCUAAAUCAAAGGAGUGUCAUAGCAACUUCUCAUAAACACAACCCCUUCUCUCUAAAUCAAAGGAGUGUCAUAGCAUCUUCUCAUAAACACAACCCCUUCUCUCUAAAUCAAAGGAUUGUCGUAACAACUUCUCAUAAAUACAACUUCUUCUCUCUAAAUCAAAGGAGUGAGAGUCACACCUGCAUUAGAAUAUAUCCAUUUUGUAAUUGAACAUAAAAUGCCCCAAAACACUUUGAGGUUAUUUAAAAAUCUACUACAUGCACAUGUAUUACACAUAUAUCUAAAUCAAUGUCUUUCAGAGAUUUGAUUUAUAAAUAGCCGUAUAUAUCUUUAUAGUGACUGUACUUAUACACAGACACUUAAUAUCAGUCAAUAGCACAUACAAAUCAGUAAUUUAUGUAUAAAUAAUUUAUACUUCAAUCAUAAAUUUCAGCAAAAAACAAAUACUAACAUGUCUGAAACUAAUUUCAUAAAAUUGCAAAAUUCAUAAACAAAAUUUAUGACAAUACUGCUAAACAUGUUUAGACCGUAAAAGUACCACGACCCUGAUGUUAUCCUUGAUUGGUCCAGCGCGACGGUACCUUUGACACACUGGGGAGUUGCUGAAAAUCAAAAUGCAUGCAAUAUUCCUCAAAGGUACCUACUACACCUACAAUAUCUUUUCUUCAAAGGUACCUACUACACCUACAAUAUCUUGGUUAAGGUAAACUUCUCAGGUAAAUCAUUAAUGGCCAAAAAUCCUGAUGACUUAUGAAAGUGGGUGGGGUUUGGUGGGGUACUGAACUUGAUUUGGGAAAGGGAUAUUACUAGGUAGGUGAUUGCUGAUGAGGCUGGAAUUGACUUGUUGUUCUCGUACAUGGAAAGGUAUAUGAUAAUUAGGGCAGUGUUAUUUCCUGAUAAUACUUUGGGUGUGGUAGAGGUCAGG